rnacentral:rRNA from 1 species
AGUCGAGCGGUAACAGGGAUUAGCUUGCUAAUUCGCUGACGAGUGGCGCACGGGUGCGUAACGCGUAUACAAUCUGCCUUCAAGCGGGGGAUAGCCCAUGGAAACGUGGAUUAAUACCCCAUGGUAUUAUGAUUUCACCUGGAAUUAUAAUUAAACAUUUAUGGCUUGAAGAUGAGUAUGCGUCCUAUUAGCUAGAUGGAGUGGUAACGGCACCCCAUGGCAACGAUAGGUAGGGGUCCUGAGAGGGAGAUCCCCCACACUGGUACUGAGACACGGACCAGACUCCUACGGGAGGCAGCAGUGAGGAAUAUUGGACAAUGGAGGCAACUCUGAUCCAGCCAUGCCGCGUGCAGGAAGACUGCCCUAUGGGUUGUAAACUGCUUUUAUACGGGAAGAACCACAUCUACGUGUAGGUGCUUGACGGUACCGUAUGAAUAAGGAUCGGCUAACUCCGUGCCAGCAGCCGCGGUAAUACGGAGGAUCCAAGCGUUAUCCGGAAUCAUUGGGUUUAAAGGGUCCGUAGGCGGGUUUAUAAGUCAGUGGUGAAAGUCUGUCGCUUAACGAUAGAAUUGCCAUUGAUACUGUAGACCUUGAAUUAUUAUGAAGUGGUUGGAAUGAGUAGUGUAGCGGUGAAAUGCAUAGAUAUUACUCAGAACACCUAUUGCGAAGGCAGAUCACUAAUACUAUAUUGACGCUGAUGGACGAAAGCGUAGGUAGCGAACAGGAUUAGAUACCCUGGUAGUCUACGCCGUAAACGAUGGUCACUAGCUGUCCGGCCUAAUUGAGGGCUGGGUGGCCAAGCGAAAGUGAUAAGUGACCCACCUGGGGAGUACGUUCGCAAGAAUGAAACUCAAAGGAAUUGACGGGGGCCCGCACAAGCGGUGGAGCAUGUGGUUUAAUUCGAUGAUACGCGAGGAACCUUACCAGGGCUUAAAUGCAGUCUGACAGGAGUGGAAACACUCCCUUCUUCGGACAGAUUGCAAGGUGCUGCAUGGUUGUCGUCAGCUCGUGCCGUGAGG